CCUACGGGAGGCAGCAGUAGGGAAUAUUGCACAAUGGGGGAAACCCUGAUGCAGCAACGCCGCGUGAGUGAGGAAGGUUUUCGGAUUGUAAAGCUCUAUUGUGAGAGAAGAAAAUGACGGUAUCUGACAAAUAAGCACCGGCUAACUACGUGCCAGCAGCCGCGGUAAUACGGAGGGGGCAAGCGUUACUCGGAUUUACUGGGCGUAAAGGGUGCGCAGGCGGGUUUGCAAGGCAGAAGUGAAAACCCGGUGCUUAACUAUGGGACUGCUUUUGAAACUGUGUCGCUAGAGUGCAGGAGAGGUAAGUGGAAUUCCUGGUGUAGCGGUGAAAUGCGUAGAUAUUAGGAGGAACACUAGUGGCGAAGGCGGCUUACUGGACUGUAACUGACGUUGAGGCUCGAAAGCGUGGGGAGCAAACAGGAUUAGAUACCCUAGUAGUC
rnacentral:rRNA from 1 species